UACGAAGGGGCUAGCGUUGCUCGGAAUUACUGGGCGUAAAGCGCACGUAGGCGGCUCUUUAAGUCGGGGGUGAAGUCCUGGAGCUCAACUCCAGAACUGCCUUCGAUACUGUAGAGCUUGAGUUCGGGAGAGGUGAGUGGAACUGCGAGUGUAGAGGUGAAAUUCGUAGAUAUUCGCAAGAACACCAGUGGCGAAGGCGGCUCACUGGCCCGAUACUGACGCUGAGGUGCGAAAGCGUGGGAGCAAACAGG
rnacentral:rRNA from 1 species